UUGCAAUUGAUACUGUUGAUUCACAUGAAUGUGAAAAUAACAGCUUAAAUCCAAGAACCAAGAAGACAAUGAUUACUUCACUAAAGUUAAAGUGAUAAUCAAAGGUCUUUUUCAGACUAUUUCCUGGUCUUUUUGGUCAAUUAAUUGUAGAAUUUUUUUAAAUGAACUGAAUUUGUAAUUUGGUCAUUGCUGAGUUGUUUGCACAUGUGGUAGCUUCCCUUUGUACACAAGCAUUCCUCUAUGUACAAAAUAGCAGAUAAUGUUAAGUCUCGUAUCUUUUUUUUUCUUCUUCUUCUUUUUGAGAUGGAGUCUUGCUCUGUUGCCGGGCUGGAGUACAGUGGCGCCAUUUCGGCUCACUGCAAGCUCUGCCUCCCGGGUUCAAGCAAUUCCCCUGCCUCAGCCUCCCAAGUAGCUGGGACUACAGGCGUAUGCCACCACACCCGGGCAACAUACCCAGUGGCUUACUCUCUAUUGAAAGAUUAACUUGAUAUUUAAAACUUGACUCCAGGAGCUCACAUAGUUACCAAGGUGAAGCUCUCUCCAUCUCACCACUGUACUCCCCUUCAUGUUGGCGUGUAGGCGUUUCCCUCGAAUUUCACCCAGGGCUCACUAGCAGCUCCUGAUAGUAUUUCCAUAUUUUUAGCAAUUUGCAAAGUAAUACCAAUUAAAACAAACGUGUCAAGUGAACAGGUUAGAUUAAAACACUACUAAAGGACUUAGGUUCUCCUAAGGUAA
rnacentral:lncRNA from 1 species